rnacentral:rRNA from 1 species
GAUGAACGUUGGCGGUGUGCCUAAUACAUGCAAGUCGAACGGAGUUAGUAGCAAUACUGGCUCAGUGGCGAACGGGUGAGUAACGCGUUGGUGAUCUGCCUUGAAGUGUGGAAUAACGUUUCGAAAAAGACGCUAAUACCGCAUGUGCUCUCGUAUUUUCAGAAAGUUGAGAGUAAAGGAUUUAUUCGCUUCAAGAGGAGCCUGCGUCCCAUCAGCUGGUUGGUAGGGUAACGGCCUACCAAGGCUAUGACGGGUAGGGGACCUGAGAGGGUGGCCCCCCACAAUGGAACUGAAACACGGUCCAUACACCUACGGGUGGCAGCAGUAGGGAAUAUUAGAAAUGGACGAAAGUCUGAUCUAGCAACACCGCGUGUGCGAAGAAGGCCUUCGGGUCGUAAAGCACUUUUUGGAAGGAAUAGGAAGGAAUGUACUUCCAGAAUAAGUCUCGGCUAACUACGUG